rnacentral:rRNA from 1 species
CUAAGUUUGAUGGCGACCGGCGCACGGGUGAGUAACACGUAUCCAACCUGCCGAUGACUCGGGGAUAGCCUUUCGAAAGAAAGAUUAAUACCCGAUGGCAUAGUUCUUCCGCAUGGUAGAACUAUUAAAGGAUUUCGGUCAUCGAUGGGGAUGCGUUCCAUUAGGUUGUUGGCGGGGUAACGGCCCACCAAGCCUUCGAUGGAUAGGGGUUCUGAGAGGAAGGUCCCCCCACAUUGGAACUGAGACACGGUCCAAACUCCUACGGGAGGCAGCAUG